UACGGGGGGAGCAAGCGUUGUUCGGAUUUACUGGGCGUAAAGGGCGCGUAGGCGGCGCAACAAGUCACUUGUGAAAUCUCCGGGCUUAACCCGGAGCGGCCAAGUGAUACUGUCGUGCUAGAGUGCGGAAGGGGCUACUGGAAUUCUCGGUGUAGCGGUGAAAUGCGUAGAUAUCAGGAGGAACACCGGUGGCGAAGGCGGUUCUCUGGGCAUGUUCUGACGCUGAGGAGCGAAAGUGUGGGGAGCGAACAGG
rnacentral:rRNA from 1 species